GUAAGUCUCUGGAGGAUAUCUGGGGCCACAGAUGUCCCAGGGGAGAUGUAGGGACCAAAUUCUGGCCAAGGAGUCCCAAAUGGGGCUUUGUCCUAGAACCCUAGUGUGGUCUGCCAGUGAGCCAGUGGGCAAAUGAACGAGGACUGCUUCCUCCCGGGUCGUCACUGAGCCAGCUGACCAGGUGAACCCGUGGAGAAGCAAGUCGAGAGAAUAGGGGAAAGGAAGUAUAACAGAGUUGAAGUUCACAGCGAGUGGGACAAAGCUAGGUUUGAAUCACCACCUCUUCGCUCACUAGCAUUUAUAUUUUCUAUAUCACAAAAGAAACUUACCCACUACCACUACCAAAUGAAAGCUGGUACAACCACUUUGGAAAGUUGUUUAGCAGAAUCUGUUGAAGAGGAACAUUUAUAUAUCCUAUGACCUAGAAGUUCUGUUCCUAAGUACAUAACACAACAGAAAUGCGUAGAUGUGGUCACCCAAAGACGUGUGCGAGAAUAUUCAUAACACUUCAUCAUAACCAAAAACUGGUAGAGGGAAAAAGUGGUAAUGCUGGUCAACAUUAGAAUAGAAAAAUAAAUUGUGAUAUGUUCAUAUAAUGUAACACUAUACAGCAACGAGAAUGAGCUAACAACUACACUUGAUGACUUGGACAAUCUCAUAAAAAUAGUUUCGAAAAAGGAACCAGGGAGUUCCCUGGCAGUCCAGAGAUUAGUAUUCUUAGCUUCCACUGCAGGGGGGACUGGGUUCAAUCCCUGAUCAGAGAACUAAGAUCCUGCAAUCCAUGCAGCAUGACCAAAAAAAAGGAAAAAGUAAACCAGACAUAGAAGAGAAAAUACAGUAUGAUUCCCUUUAUAUAAAUAUCAAAAAUAAGAAAACUGAUUUAUGGUGUUAGAAGGCAGGGUAGAGGUUAUGCUUAGAUUGGGGUAUAAGGAACUUUGUGGUGUUGCUGGUCAUUGUCUGUUUCUUGAUCUGUGUACGGGUUAAACAGAUGUGUUCACUUUAUGACCUAUGACUUGCACACUUUUCUCUAAGUAUGAAGUAUUUCAGUAGAAAGUUGACAAGAUCCACUUGAAAACCUGCACACAGAUCUUUACAGCAGCUUUAUUCAUAAUUGCCAAGACCUGGAAGCAACCAAGAUGUCUUUCCAUGGGUAAAUGGACAAAUAAACUGUGGUACAUCUAGACAAAGGAUUGUUAUUCAGCACUAAAAAGAAAUGAGCUAUCAAACCGUGAGAAGAUGUAAGGAAACUUAAAUGCAUAUUACUAAGUGAGAAAAGUCUGUCUGAAAAUGCUACAUAUUGUAUGAUUCCAACUAUAUGACUUGCUGGGAAAAGCAAAACUAUGGAGACAGUAAAAAUAUCAGUGGUUGCCAGGGCUUUGGGGGAGGUGAGACAGAAAUGAAUAGGUGGAGUGCAGAAGACUUUUAGUGCAGUGAAAAUACAGUGUAACAGUGGACACAUGUCACUAUCCAUUUGUCCAAGCUCAUAGAAUAUAUAAUGAAGGCAUCAACUCUAAACUGUGGACUCUGAGUGAUAAUGAUGGGUCAGUGUAGGUUCAUCACUUUUACCAUUUUAGUGGAGGAUGUUAAUAAUGGGAACAGCUCUACAAUUGUAAGAAGUAUAUGGGAAAUCUCUGGACCUUCUAUUCAGUUGCUAUUAACCUAAAACUGCU
ensembl:lncRNA